UACGGAGGAUCCAAGCGUUAUCCGGAAUUACUGGGCGUAAAGAGUUGCGUAGUUGGCAUGUUAAGUAGAUAGUGAAAGCGUCCGGCUCAACCGGGUAUACAUUAUCUAAACUGCCAAGCUAGAGGAUGAGAGAGGUACCUGGAAUUCCUAGUGUAGGAGUGAAAUCCGUAGAUAUUAGGAGGAACACCGAUGGCGUAGGCAGGGUACUGGCUUAUUCCUGACACUAAGGCACGAAAGCGUGGGGAGCGAACGGG
rnacentral:rRNA from 1 species